AGAUUAAGUUAUUAAGGGCGCACGGUGGAUGCCUUGGCACUAGAAGCCGAUGAAGGACGUUACUAACGACGAUAUGCUUUGGGGAGCUGUAAGUAAGCUUUGAUCCAGAGAUUUCCGAAUGGGGAAACCCAGCAUGAGUUAUGUCAUGUUAUCGAUAUGUGAAUACAUAGCAUAUCAGAAGGCACACCCGGAGAACUGAAACAUCUUAGUACCCGGAGGAAGAGAAAGAAAAUUCGAUUCCCUUAGUAGCGGCGAGCGAAACGGGAAGAGCCCAAACCAACAAGCUUGCUUGUUGGGGUUGUAGGACACUCUAUACGGAGUUACAAAGGACGACAUUAGACGAAUCAUCUGGAAAGAUGAAUCAAAGAAGGUAAUAAUCCUGUAGUCGAAAAUGUUGUCUCUCUUGAGUGGAUCCUGAGUACGACGGAGCACGUGAAAUUCCGUCGGAAUCUGGGAGGACCAUCUCCUAAGGCUAAAUACUCUCUAGUGACCGAUAGUGAACCAGUACCGUGAGGGAAAGGUGAAAAGCACCCCGGAAGGGGAGUGAAAUAGAACCUGAAACCGUGUGCUUACAAGUAGUCAGAGCCCGUUAAUGGGUGAUGGCGUGCCUUUUGUAGAAUGAACCGGCGAGUUACGAUUUGAUGCAAGGUUAAGCAGUAAAUGUGGAGCCGUAGCGAAAGCGAGUCUGAAUAGGGCGUUUAGUAUUUGGUCGUAGACCCGAAACCAGGUGAUCUACCCUUGGUCAGGUUGAAGUUCAGGUAACACUGAAUGGAGGACCGAACCGACUUACGUUGAAAAGUGAGCGGAUGAACUGAGGGUAGCGGAGAAAUUCCAAUCGAACCUGGAGAUAGCUGGUUCUCUCCGAAAUAGCUUUAGGGCUAGCCUCAAGUGAUGAUUAUUGGAGGUAGAGCACUGUUUGGACGAGGGGCCCCUCUCGGGUUACCGAAUUCAGACAAACUCCGAAUGCCAAUUAAUUUAACUUGGGAGUCAGAACAUGGGUGAUAAGGUCCGUGUUCGAAAGGGAAACAGCCCAGACCACCAGCUAAGGUCCCAAAAUAUAUGUUAAGU
rnacentral:rRNA from 1 species